rnacentral:rRNA from 1 species
CUCAUAGCGUAUAUUUAAGUUGUUGCAGUUAAAAAGCUCGUAGUUGGAUUUCGGGCCCAGGCGGCCGGUCCGCCGUUUCGGUGUGCACUGGUCGGCUCGGUCUUUCUGCCGGGGACGCGCUCCGCCUUGACUGCCGGACGCGGAGUCGGCGACGUUACUUUGAAAAAAUUAGAGUGUUCAAAGCAGGCCUACGCUCUGAAUACUAUAGCAUGGAAUAACACGAUAGGACUCCGAGCCUAUUUUGUUGGUCUUCGGGACCGGAGUAAUGAUUAAGAGGGACAGUUGGGGGCAUUCGUAUUACGGUGUCAGAGGUGAAAUUCUUGGAUUUCCGUAAGACGAACUUCUGCGAAAGCAUUUGCCAAGGAUGUUUUCAUUAAUCAAGAACGAAAGUUGGGGGCUCGAAGAUGAUCAGAUACCGUCGUAGUCUCAACCAUAAACGAUGCCGACUAGGGAUUGGAGGAUGUUAAUUCGAUGACUUCUCCAGCACCUUAAGAGAAAUCAAAGUUUUUGGGUUCCGGGGGGAGUAUGGUCGCAAGGCUGAAACUUAAAGGAAUUGACGGAAGGGCACCACCAGGCGUGGAGCCUGCGGCUUAAUUUGACUCAACACGGGGAAACUUACCAGGUCCAGACAUAGUAAGGAUUGACAGAUUGAGAGCUC